rnacentral:lncRNA from 1 species
CUUCUGCUCCUUGUCUCCCGGAGGCUCCCUGCCCUCAGCAAUAGAAGAUGGAGUCUCACUCUGAUGCCCAGGCUGGAGGGCAGCGGCAUCAUCUUGGCUCACUGCAACCUCUACCUCCCGAGUUCAAGCAAUUCUCCUGACUCAGCCUCCUAAGUAGCUGGGAUUACAGGCACACACCACCACACUUGGCUAAUUUUGUAUUUUUAGUAAAGACAGGGUUUCACCAUGUUGGCCAGGCUGGUCUCAAACUCCCCACCUCAGAUGAUCUCCCUGCCUCGGCCUCCCAAAGCGCUGGGAUUACAGGCGUGAGCCACCGCGUCUGGCCGAGGAUCCCCAACACCGACAUUGACUAAAUUCCUUUUCUGCAAGCAUCCUGGCAGAUGUUCUGGUUAAGACCUUGCACCGUCACGAGCUCAUCCUUUUCAUGCUCCAACAGCUGUUGAGUGCUGUGUAGCCACCACCCAAGCAUCUGACAUGUCGAUUUCAUUCUAGAGCCCAGCUGGAACCCUAAGAGGUUGAAAGUGGAGUUUUGUCUCCUCUGCAGUGGACACUCAAAGAACUAGCCAGGAUGGGUUGGACCUGGGAGCAGAGAGACCAUGGCUCCCUUCCAAGGCUGGGAGAAGGGAGUUGCCACUCCUUCCCAAUCAAACCAUGCCAAGAACGAGGCUUUUGCAGGGAAAUCAGUGCAGAUGAGAACUUACCAACAGUUAAGAUGAAUAAAUAUAUCCAACUGCCUGGCCCAUGUCAACACGCAACAAUUAUUUGCUAAAAGAAAUAAAAAAGGGGCCGGGCAGGGUGGCUCAUGCCUAGAAUCACAGCACUUUGAGAGGCUGAGGCAGGCAGAUCACUUGAGGCCAGGAGUUUGAGACCAGCCUGGCCAACAUGGUGAAACCCUGUCUCUACUAAAAAUACAAAAAUUAGCCGGGUGUGGUGGUGCGCACCUGUAAUCCCAGCUACUCUGGAGGCUGAGACAGGAGAACUGCUUGAACUCGGGAGGCAGAGGUUGCAGUGAGCCAAGAUGCACCAGUGCACUCCAGCCUGGGUGAUAGAGUGAGACUCCAUCAAGAAAGAGAGAGAGAGAGAGAAGAAAGAAAAAGAAAGAGAGAGAGAGAAAGAAAGAAAGAGAGAGAGAGAGA